ACACAUUUUACCUUUGUAUUUUCUUCAGUAUCACUCUAGAGAGCCUCUCAGAGCUAUGUCCCAGUUUCUGAUGCAGGCAGCUGGGGAGGAGAAGGGGGAAGCACAGCUGUCAUGCAGGCGUUGUACACUGAUGAUGGACCUGACCAGAAGUGAGAAGAGGAUCUCUGCAUUGUUUCCACUGACAGGUUUUGCCUUGUAGCCAGUAAACCUCUCUACAUCCUUCCUCAGCACACUCCACGUGAGCCCCUGUGCACUCCUUGUGCAGUGCUAUGGAGGCUGAACCAGAAAUUAGCCCUGAUCUGCAGGUGAAUGUGUCUUGGGACACAGGUGAGUAGAAGAGGCUGAACUUCCACCAGUGAGUGGACGACAAGGCACAGAAGGAGAAAAGGCUCUUCUAUGGUUAUCAAUGUGAAUGUGGGGUCUGGCCCCAUGUGGGGACCAUCCUGCAGAGACCCCGCUCCCUGGAAAUGUUCAAGGCCAGGUUGGACAGGGCUUGGAGAAACCUUCUCUAGAGGAAGGUGUUCCUGCCCAUGGGAGGGAGUUGGAACAAGAUGGUUUUAAGGUCCCUUCCAACCCAAGUAAUUGUGUGAUUCUAUGAGAACAAUGCUUUUUUGUGCUGUCACUAAGACACAGAUUUAGAGCCUAGCAAGGUUUUGUGUGUGUAUGCUGACAAAAUGGCAUUAGUACUAUCUGAAAAUCAAAGGAAACAGUAUUAGAGUAACAAGGAACCAAGAAAAAAAAAGAGAGAGAGAUACAGUUUGAUCAUAGAAUAAAACUUUAAUUCUUAUAAAGCCCUGAAUGAGACACAGGAAGGGCAAAUAUUUGUUCUGCUGCUGACCUUCUCAGGCAAAUAGCACAUCAGGCCCUGCAGGGCUGGAGGCAUUGUGCUGAGGGGAAGUGAGAAAUCACCAAAAGCCAGAGAGGGCUGUAGAGAACAACUGAUUACUCAGGGGAGACAUGAUGAACUCCCCAAACUCCAGCACAGUGAGAAACCCUUAUCUGGCUGAAUGUGCCCAAAUAACCACCUUGGGUUUUGAGAGAAAGAGCUGUCCCAAGAAGGCCACCUUUCCCUGCUGGUGCUAGCUGCAGGAAAGAAGGUACCACAUGGAUUCCUGGCAUCAGCAGAAGCAGUUUUGGGCAGCCAUGAAAUACUGGGAUGCCCUCAAGUUCUCUGCCCCUGGGUAGAACUUCCUUACCAAAUUGCUUUAAAUCUGGAGUACGACUAUUGGAGAAGUGCUUAAACAGAAACUUAGCAGAUAGGGAAGAUCAGCUUAGUUGAAAAUCACCAGGGAAAUAAAAAACCCUUGAAGAAUAAGAAGCUAUUUUACACAAUUAACAAAACAAUUGCUCUUAGUCAGACAUUCUGUAAACGUUCUAGUGCUUAGAAUGGAAGCAUCUCCCUGGUUUAAUAGUCUUUCUUCCAGUAGGAAAAUGGGUUCAUUUUACCAUUACUUAUUGCUGCUGAAAAGAGAGGAAAUAAUUUCCAGUGUGUGUCUAGAGCUAAAAUUCAAACAUGUUUUCAGCACAUGUGUAAUAUUCUGCAUGUGAGUGGUCCUUAUGUCUCAGAUAGAGAAUAGUGCUUGGUAUUUUGAGCUGAAAAAUGAUCUUGUAAAAAGUUUUGGUAGAAUUUUCCAUUCCAUCACACUAAGAAGCUGAUUUUGGUGAUGUCUCUGUCUCUGAGGGGACAGCACUGCUGUCAAAAAGGGGAAAGGUGCUCACCUGAGCUUGGCACACUGCACAAGCAUAGAAUCACAGAGUGGUUUUGGUUGGGAGGGACCUUAAAGACCAUCUUGUUCCAGCCUCCUGCCAUGGGCAGAGGCACCUUCUACUAGACCAGAUUGCUCAAAGCCCUGUCUAACCUGGCAUUGAACACUUCCAGGGAUGGGACAUCAAAUCAGUCACUUAUUUUACCUACAUUUCCAAAAAGUGAUUUUUUUUUUUUUUUUUAUUCCUACCUGGAAUGUGUGGCUGGGGGGUGACACCAGCCACCAAAGCAGUGGUGGCUCUGAUCUCAGCCCAGCUUGGAGGUUAGGACAGGUUUAAGAUGUAAAGGAGAAAGACCAUAUGAGAGAGGAGCUACAAAUGCCAACACCUGGCUGAUGGGUCAACAGGGUGUUUGUUACUCGUGGCUCUCGGUCUCCUCAUCCUGAGAGCCCGCCUUAGUUCCUUUAUUGGGGGCAGCUGAUCACCUCCAUAAUGAUGCCAUUUGUGACUAAUCUUCCAGGAUUAAAGAUGAACUGUGGCUGCUGCGGGCUUCUACCUUUGCCGCAUAGCAAUGAGAGCAGAAAGUCAAUUAAUUACCUUCUCACUGGAAUCCAGGGGCCCUUUCGUCCUUGGCUCAGCCGAGUGUGUAAUGGAAAAGGGAGAGAGCCGGCUGCAGCUGGCCAGCUGGGAAUUGCAUGACAAAGUGAAAAAUGAGCUCUGGGGAAAAGGAGAGGGAGGGCACUGGGGGGAAAUCCUCAUCCUACAGGUUCAUUAAAAAAAAAGUAAGAUGCUAUCUGUUCUCUUUCUGUACUUUACACUAGAUGAGAGAAAAAACCCUCUCUGUAGUGGUCUGGUCUUCUGCCUGUGUGGUUGAUGCUGAAACCCCCAGGGCUGACUGGACUCCUUAGGUGCCUCUGGACAGGGAACUCACUGCUUGCUUGCUCGUGAGGACAGUAAAUAUUACCCUGUCCGAGCUUUCCUACUCUGAAGUGCUGACAGGAAAGCUUUCCAGGUCAGAGUAUUUGAGAAACUGUAUAGAAAUGCUACAUUUAGACUGUAAUUACAAAGUGCUGUCCCUGUGACUGGAUCCAUAAGUCAGCACAGAGGACUGUCUGCAGUGGGAGGUGAUCUGCUGCUCAGUGUAUCCAGGGUUGCUAUAGACACUCCUGAAAAAGCAGAUUAAGACACUGAGAUUGGCGGAUCUCUCUGAGCCAUGUAAGAAACAAACAGAUUCUCUAUUGCUUGUGUCAGACACAGGUAACUGCAUUUCCUUGCACCCCAGCAGUCCUGGAAAGGCUGGUUCUGCCUGAUUCUGAGUCCCCUUUGGUUGCAGAGAGCCCUGUGGUCUCCCUCUCCCUGGGCUGCAGUGUGUUCUCCCAGCACUGUUCAUUGCAUUGCUCACGCUAGUGUUGUGGGAUGAAAGGAAUCAAUGUGUGUGGAGACUUCUUACAAAAAGAGGGAUUUUUUUCUCUUUGCCUGCUUUAUUUAAGACUUUAGGACUCUGCUUGAACUGCAGAGCAGAGGAAGUUGAGAUGAGUGCAGCAUCCAGUCCUCCCCCAUAAGCACCAGUAUUCCCCAGCUCAGAGUGGGCAUGCAGGGGACUCAAGAACACCAGCAUGAGGUGAGGUUCUCUGCAGAUGCCAUGGCAUGGGAAGUGUUGCUGUGGGCUGAGCUGUCUUUCCCUUUGGAUAAAGCAAUGACAUACCUCACCUUGCCCUUUGGUGUUCCUUAGGACACAGCAAUAGCUACGUGUGAUGUUUUUCUGGGUUGAGAUUUUUACUGUACUCUUAAAUGGCUUUUAUUUUUGGUCUCUGCAAAAAAAUUGACCCAAACUGAUUGAUGAUAUCCACAUGCAGAGGCUGCACAUCCAAAUCCUGCUGCUGGAAACAGCAGGCUCCACAAAUUCAGGUGGGGUUCUGGUUCAGAGACUCAGCUGCAAUUUUCCCAGUAGCAGAAGUCUCAGGGUUAGGAGUACCCAGUUUGUGCCACUCCAAAACAUCGAGCAAGAUUCUGUUAAAGGAAGAUACACAAACUUCUGUAUGCUGCCUUCCCCUGUUGGCCUUGGCUGAGCACCAGGAAUAUCACAAAGCAGGGACCAGGUUUUUCCAGUAUGCUGGUCUUGGCUUUUGGAUGGGGCUGGGAGACAUUUGCAAGAGAUGUGAGUGACUGUGUGUGUUGCUGACCUGCUUUUAUCAGAAAUGGACACAAAAAGGAGAAUGAAAAUGGACAGAUGGGGGAUGGAGCUGGCUGAGAGUGAACCCUCCUGACAGGAAACACCCCAAAGGCAAGCUGGCUUCUGGGGCUGUCCCUCUGCUCGGAGAGGCUCUUCCUCACUGCAUGCACAGAUGGAAUAAAAUUAAGAAAAAAUAACAUUUAAAAGAGGAAAAAAAUAAAGAAAAAAUAUAAUUAUAUAAAAGCUUUCCAGUACUGGAGCAUCAUCUGACCACAGGCUCCUUAGGGAGAAAUUUCCUGUACAAACCAGCCAUCAUUCAUUACAGCAGCUUUUAUUCUGUGCUUUGAAACAUUAUGUGUGGUCACCACUGGUUAACUAUGGCUAGAGGUAAUGCAGACUCCCUGCAACUUGUGCUUUCUUUGCAGGUUGCCCCCAAUUUUGCUUAAAAUCACCAAAAAAAAAAAAAAAAAAGCAAACCCAAAAAUAAUGUUAUGCUGGAGGAAAACAGCCAAUCUAGGACUAGAGAUCACAAAAAUCUAAUUUCAAAAAGCAGCACUUAGGCUCCGCAACUGCAGCAGAAGAGCUUUUUAUUUGAAAGUUGACAUUAAAAAGCUUGGCACCUAUGAAGUAUGUGCUUUCCUUUCCCACUCCAUAGUCUGAGAAAGACUAUGUCAUAGUUGAAAUACAAGCGCAUGUAUAUAUAUAUGAAUAUUUAAUUUGACAUUGAUGAAGCUUUAUGUAUUAAGUCCGUGAAAAUGCUGUUAAGCUCAUGGGAACAAUAAAAUUUUUGUAAUGAGCUGGGAAUUUGGUACUGCAAGUGCCCAAUGGUUAUCACUUAAUUUUGAUGUCAACCAUAGAGACAAACUACAAGCUAAAUUUAAUUCCAUCUUAUUGGGAAUGUUGUGGUCAAAUUGCAAAUAAAUGUUUAGCUUAUAGAUGAUAAUGGUUUAUCGGGGCUCCUCCCUUCUGGGAAAUGAAAGUCACAGAAAUUCAUGUAUAAACUGUCUCCCAAACUAGAGAUGAGAAGCUGUCUAUUUUGUAAAUAGUGAGGUUAAAUCAAGAUGCCUUUAUUUAGUUUUUACAUAUUCUCCUGGCAAAUUUUCUUACUGUAAGACAUGUUAAUCUAAAAUGAUGAUAUUCACAGCCCUUUAUAUGCUCAGUCUUUGUUUUAUGUCUCUAUAAUUUAGGCAGCCAUUUUGUGUUCAGUAAAAAAAUUAAAUAAAGAGGGGACAUCCACUGUGGGCUUUCUCCUGGAGACUUUGCCUCUGGA